UUUUUUUUUUGCCAAAUUUGGAAAAUGUUAUCCAUUAGUACAUUAAAGAUACUUUCUCCCUUAUUCUCCCUCUCCCUUCUCCUUCUGGAGUUCCUGCUAAACGUGUGUUAGGCCUGAUAUUGUCUCUAAGAAGCCUGAUGCCCUGCUCGUUAUAUUUUUUCAGUCUUAUUUUCUUUAUAUUCUUCUGAUUAGAUUAUUUCCGUUGGACUAACAUCAUCAAGUUCCCUAACUCAUGUCAUUUUGAAUCUGUUAAGCCCUUCCAAGUAAACCCACUUUUACAAAAAUUGUAUUUUUGGUAUUUAAAUAUUCAUUUGAUUUUCAUUUUAUAACCCCUAUUUAUUUGCUGAUAUUUCUAACUUUUUUCACCAAGAGCAUUGCUUCCUUUACUUAUUUAACCAUAGUUAUAAUAAUAGCUGCAAUUAAAAUUCUUGUCUGCUAAUUCCAACAUCUGGGUCCUAUCAAACUUGGUCUAAGUUUUGGGGCCUUUUAUUUUUUUAAUUUUUUAUUUUAAACUGGCUGAAAUAUGUUGAAUGACUAGUUGUUGUUUCUGGAAUUGUGAGUUUGACUUAUUUUUGGAGAUUUUAGACUCUGUUAUGUUCCUCCAAAAAUUCAUGUAUACAUUUAUUUCAUCUUUGGGAUUUUAUUUUUUAUUUCUUGGCAGGAAAUUAAGUUGGUUGCACUCAAACUGAACACUUCUGUUGUUGAGGGUGGUGUGCACAUCCACUCUCAUGGAGCUCCUCUAUCUUCAGCUGUCCCGUUUGCAAUCUGCUCCACUUACUCAGAGCUCGAGAGUCAGUUAAAGUCUUGGGCAGCACCUAGAACCACAAUUUGGGGCUCUCCAGUCUGGAGCUCUCCUUUCUGGGAUUCCUCCCUCAUCUUCUGGUGGAUGUAGUUUUGGUGGUUCAGAAAGAAAGUGGAUGUUAGGAUAGAGUUUUGGUUUUCCCACCAGCACUGACUUCGGUACAUGCUUGGCUUAGCUAAAAGCCAAAAAAUGGGUGAUUCACCAUAGGCUGUUCAACUCCUUCGGAAUCUGCCUGUUUCUCUUCAAUUUUCUAGUGCUUCUAGUUUCCAGGUGUUUUUCUGUCUUAUGUAUUUAUUUGUAUAUUUCAUCCAUAGUUGCAAGUGAAAAAGGAUCAAAUCCCAUAGGAGUUUAUUUGGCCAUCCUGAAUUGCACUUUUGGAAAAAAGACUUUAUUUUGCCUUCAAAAUGUAGUUACUUGUACGUGACACAAACAUACAAAUGCUAGUUUUCAAUAAUAGCUAGCUACCUUUAGUUUAUUGCAUUCUAUGUGCCAAGCAUUUUACACCAUUAUAUUAUUCCAAUUCUUAUUUCUUUGGGAGAUAGAUUUUAUUAUUUCACAUUUGUAGUAAAGGGAAUUGUGACUAUAAUCCAUGUAAUUGCUGAAAGUUCUAAACAGGAAUCACAUAGUUUUAAGUAUGGUGCAUAUUUUCAUGUAUAUAAGAAAGAUGAGGUUGUGUAGUUGCAAGUGUCU
rnacentral:lncRNA from 1 species